AUUGAACGCUGGCGGCAGGCCUAACACAUGCAAGUCGGGCGAGGGGCGGACGGGUGAGUAAUGUAUGAGGAACUGCCUGAUGGGGGGGGAUAACUACUGGAAACGGUAGCUAAUACCGCAUACCAGCAGAUGACCCAAUAUGGGCUGAGCUUGUACGUAAGGUAACGGCUCACCUAGGCGACGAACCCUAGCUGGUUUGAGAGGAUGAUCGUCGACACUGGAACUGGGACACGGGCCGGACUCCUACGCGAGACAGCAGUGGGGAAUAUUGCACAAUGGGCGCAAGCCUGAUGCAGCCAUGCGGCGUGUAUGAAGAAGGCCUUCGGGUUGUAAAGUACUUUCAGUCGGGAGGCGUUACCGACAGAAGAAGCACCGGCUAACUCCGUGACAGCAGCCGCGGUAAUUC
rnacentral:rRNA from 1 species